rnacentral:rRNA from 1 species
AAUCAACGCUGGCGGCGCGCUUAACACAUGCAAGUCGAACGAGAAAGGGGAGCAAUCCCUGAGUAAAGUGGCAGACGGGUGAGUAACACGUGGGUCAUCCACUCCUUGGUGGGGAAUAACCCUGGGAAACCGGGGCUAAUACCGCAUAAGCCCGAGAGGGGAAAGGAGCAAUUCGCCGAGGAAGGAGCCCGCGGCCGAUUAGCUAGUUGGUAGGGUAAUGGCCUACCAAGGCUUUGAUCGGUAGCCGGCCUGAGAGGGCACACGGCCACACUGGCACUGAGACACGGGCCAGACUCCUACGGGAGGCAGCAGUGGGGAAUCUUGCACAAUGGGGGAAACCCUGAUGCAGCGACGCCGCGUGAGCGAUGAAGCCCUUCGGGGUGUAAAGCUCUUUCGACAGGAACGAUUAUGACGGUACCUGGAGAAGAAGCUGCGGCUAACUACGUGCCAGCAGCCGCGGUAAUACGUAGGCAGCAAGCGUUGUUCGGAGUUACUGGGCGUAAAGAGU